CCUACGGGAGGCAGCAGUAGGGAAUCUUCCGCAAUGGGCGAAAGCCUGACGGAGCAACGCCGCGUGAGUGAUGAAGGUCUUCGGAUCGUAAAACUCUGUUAUCAGGGAAGAACAAAUGUGUAAGUAACUGUGCACAUCUUGACGGUACCUGAUCAGAAAGCCACGGCUAACUACGUGCCAGCAGCCGCGGUAAUACGUAGGUGGCAAGCGUUAUCCGGAAUUAUUGGGCGUAAAGCGCGCGUAGGCGGUUUUUUAAGUCUGAUGUGAAAGCCCACGGCUCAACCGUGGAGGGUCAUUGGAAACUGGAAAACUUGAGUGCAGAAGAGGAAAGUGGAAUUCCAUGUGUAGCGGUGAAAUGCGCAGAGAUAUGGAGGAACACCAGUGGCGAAGGCGACUUUCUGGUCUGUAACUGACGCUGAUGUGCGAAAGCGUGGGGAUCAAACAGGAUUAGAUACCCUGGUAGUCCACGCCGUAAACGAUGAGUGCUAAGUGUUAGGGGGUUUCCGCCCUUAGUGCUGCAGCUAACGCAUUAAGCACUCCGCCUGGGGAGUACGACCGCAAGGUUGAAACUCAAAGGAAUUGACGG
rnacentral:rRNA from 1 species